rnacentral:rRNA from 1 species
AUUGAACGCUGGCGGCAUGCUUUACUCAUGCAAGUCGAACGGUAACAGGCCGCAAGGUGCUGACGAGUGGCGAACGGGUGAGUAAUGCAUCGGAACGUGCCCAGUCGUGGGGGAUAACUACUCGAAAGAGUAGCUAAUACCGCAUACGAUCUAUGGAAGAAAGCGGGGGACCGUAAGGCCUCGCGCGAUUGGAGCGGCCGAUGUCAGAUUAGGUAGUUGGUGGGGUAAAGGCUCACCAAGCCAACGAUCUGUAGCUGGUCUGAGAGGACGACCAGCCACAAUGGGACUGAGAAAAGGGCCAGACUCCUAAGGGAGGCAGCAGUGGGGAAUUUUGGACAAUGGGCGCAAGCCUGAUCCAGCAAUGCCGCGUGCAGGAAGAAGGCCUUCGGGUUGUAAACUGCUUUUGUACGGAACGAAACGGCUCUGGUUAAUACCCGGGGCUAAUGACGGUACCGUAAGAAUAAGCACCGGCUAACUACGUG